AGGGAGGCGCUCACUCUCAGCU
rnacentral:miRNA from 1 species